UACGUAGGGGGCUAGCGUUGUCCGGAAUCAUUGGGCGUAAAGCGCGUGUAGGCGGCCCGGUAAGUCCGCUGUGAAAGUCGGGGCUCAACCCUCGGAUGCCGGUGGAUACUGUCGGGCUCGAGUACGGAAGAGGCGAGUGGAAUUCCUGGUGUAGGCGGUGAAAUGCGCAGAUAGUCAAGGAGGAACACCAAUUGCGAAGGCAGCUCGCUGGGACGUUACUGACGCUGAGACGCGAAAGCGUGGGAGCAACAGG
rnacentral:rRNA from 1 species